ensembl:lncRNA
AGGAAAUCCACCUUUUGUAUAUCCUUUCUUUCGGAGAACAUAUUGAAGCCUCAAUGAUUGCGAAGAAAAACUUGGAAUGUGGACUGAGUGCACUGGCUUUACUUACAGCUGCUUGGAGACAUAAAAGAAGAGCAGCAGAUGGUGAAGCAGCAGCAGUUACUAGAGCACAAAUUCAGUAAGAAACCCACUUGCUACAACUCUUGCAGAAACGGGCAUGGUUCUCAUUUUUCCACUGGUGGGUGAAAGGCUGGCUAAAGGAGAAAUCUGCCUGAGUUACAGAUGGAUAAAGGGAGAGAAUAGAGAUGGCUGUGACAGCAAUAGCAGGGAACAAGACCAGAAGGAAAGUUUACUCAUCCUUCUCUAUCUCAUCACUAGUUUCAGAGACAUGGACAUACGCUGCUGGCAGCCAGGGGUGCAGUUCCUCAUUAGAAUUGCUCUGAAGACAAAUCUGUUGUGAGAGGUUUCCACCACAGCCUUUUGCCUCGCUGCAGGUUUCUUCCCUCUCAAAGGAUAGAAAAGUCAAAGACAUUUUUUUAAAUAUUCAGAAGUAUUUCAUAAUCCAAAUGGAUGGAAUGAGACUUGACCAGGUUCUUUUAAUGCCCAAGGAACACCAUGUUUCAGAAAAUGCUGUGAAUGAUGGCCAAGAAGAAUUCUUUCCAUGGACUUUCCAG